CCAGAGAACUUAGCAGAGAUGCUUUGGUGCCCUUCGGGGAACUCNGAGACAGGUGCUGCAUGGCUGUCGUCAGCUCGUGUUGUGAAAUGUUGGGUUAAGUCCCGCAACGAGCGCAACCCUUAUCCUUUGUUGCCAGCGGCUCGGCCGGGAACUCAAAGGAGACUGCCGGUGAUAAACCGGAGGAAGGUGGGGAUGACGUCAAGUCAUCAUGGCCCUUACGGCCAGGGCUACACACGUGCUACAAUGGCGCAUACAAAGAGAAGCGACCUCGCGAGAGCAAGCGGACCUCAUAAAGUGCGUCGUAGUCCGGAUUGGAGUCUGCAACUCGACUCCAUGAAGUCGGAAUCGCUAGUAAUCGUAGAUCAGAAUGCUACGGUGAAUACGUUCCCGGGCCUUGUACACACCGCCCGUCACACCAUGGGAGUGGGUUGCAAAAGAAGUAGGUAGCUUAACCUUCGGGAGGGCGCUUACCACUUUGUGAUUCAUGACUGGGGUGAAGUCGUAACAAGGUAAGCGUAGCGAG
rnacentral:rRNA from 1 species